rnacentral:snRNA from 1 species
AGUGCUCUGAAUGUCAAA